rnacentral:misc_RNA from 1 species
CCGAGUUGCCCAACUCCCACAACCCCACGCGAACGUUACCCCACGUUGCCUCGGCGGGCCCGCACCGGGAUCUCCGGUGCGCCCGCCGGAGGAUCAUCAAACUCGCCUCUCUAGAGUCAUUGUCGGGGUCAGCAGUUUAAUGAAUCAAAACUUUCAACAACGGAUCUCUUGGUUCUGGCAUCGAUGAAGAACGCAGCGAAAUGCGAUAAGUAAUGUGAAUUGCAGAAUUCAGUGAACCAUCGAAUCUUUGAACGCACAUUGCGCCCGCCAGCACUCUGGCGGGCAUGCCUGUUCGAGCGUCAUUUGAAACCCUCAAGCCCCUCCGGCUUGGCGUUGGGGGACGGCCCGCCGCGGCCGCCCCCGGAAUCCAGCGGCGACCCCGCCGCGGUCUCCCCUGCGCAGUAAGCACGCUCGCACGGGAUGGCGCGGGCGGAGGGCCGGCGCCGCAAGGCGCAGCCACACCACACCAGAGUU